AUAAAAAUAAGCUAAUAAAGCUUAUGGGUUCAUACCCCAUCUAUAAAAGUAAAUCUUUUUUUUUAUA
rnacentral:tRNA from 1 species